rnacentral:misc_RNA from 1 species
AAGUCGUAACAAGGUUUCCGUAGGUGAACCUGCGGAAGGAUCAUUAUCGAGUUUUGAAGUGGGCCUCUCGAGCUGGCAUUCAAGUUGCAGGUGCUCAGAGGCUCCCACUCCCAUCCUCUCAAUCCCUGUGCACUUCUGAGCGCAAGUGAGUGGUCAGUCUUCUCCCCUCUUAUGAAAGGAGGGGGACCAGUCUUUCAAGCUGGUAUUGGCUUGAUGCUUACUUCGUUUAUUAUUAACUCAUAUAAUGUCUUGUAGAAUGUAUUGCCUCUCUGCAGGCGAAAUGUAAUACAACUUUCAACAACGGAUCUCUUGGCUCUC